rnacentral:tRNA from 1 species
UGCAGUUGUGGCUCAGUGGUAGAGUGCUUGCCUAGCAUGUGUUUGAUUCUCAUUGGGUUCAAUUCUGAGCACUGUAU